rnacentral:rRNA from 1 species
GUGAAAUUGUUGAAAGGGAAGCGCUUGCAAUCAGACUUGCAUGCAGUUGAUCAUCCGAUGUUCUCACCGGUGCACUCAUCUGCAUUCAGGCCAGCAUCGGUUUUGGUGGUUGGAUAAAGGCCCUGGGAAUGUAGCUUCUUUUGGGGAGUGUUAUAGUCCAGGGUGCAAUGCAGCCUACCAGGACCGAGGACCGCGCUUCGGCUAGGAUGCUGGCAUAAUGGUUGUAAGCGACCCGUCUUGAAACACGGACCAAGGAGUCUAACAUCUAUGCGAGUGUUUGGGUGUAAAACCCAUACGCGUAAUGAAAGUGAACGGAGGUGAGAACCCUUAAGGGCGCAUCAUCGACCGAUCCUGAUGUCUUCGGAUGGAUUUGAGUAAGAGCAUAGCUGUUGGGACCCGAAAGAUGGUGAACUAUGCGUGGAUAGGGUGAAGCCAGAGGAAACUCUGGUGGAGGCUCGCAGCGGUUCUGACGUGCAAAUCGAUCGUCAAAUCUGCGUAUAGGGGCGAAAGACUAAUCGAACCAUCCUUGGUGCUUGAAUUCUCUUUUUGCAACUAGGUGGUUAAUUGAGAUUGAGAUAUCUCCAGCCUUCCUUGGUGCUGGCAACUUGGUCAACCUGCUUGGGCGUGCAUAUGCAUGACGAGAAGCAACUCCUCAAAACAGUUGUUCACAGGUCAAACAACCAGGGCCUAUUUUGCAAAAUAGGUAACGAAAUGAUCGGUCCCU